CCUACGGGGGUCUGCAGUGGGGAAUAUUGGACAAUGGGCGAAAGCCUGAUCCAGCCAUGCCGCGUGUGUGAAGAAGGCCUUCGGGUUGUAAAGCACUUUCAGUGGGGAAGAAAGCCUUGGGGCUAAUACCCUCGAGGAAGGACAUCACCCACAGAAGAAGCACCGGCUAACUCCGUGCCAGCAGCCGCGGUAAUACGGAGGGUGCGAGCGUUAAUCGGAAUUACUGGGCGUAAAGCGCGCGUAGGCGGUCUGAUAAGCCGGUUGUGAAAGCCCCGGGCUCAACCUGGGAACGGCAUCCGGAACUGUCAGGCUAGAGUGCAGGAGAGGAAGGUAGAAUUCCCGGUGUAGCGGUGAAAUGCGUAGAGAUCGGGAGGAAUACCAGUGGCGAAGGCGGCCUUCUGGACUGACACUGACGCUGAGGUGCGAAAGCGUGGGUAGCAAACGGGAUUAGAUACCCUGGUAGUC
rnacentral:rRNA from 1 species